UUCACCACAUCUGAUGUGGAUAACAUGCAUUAUGCUGCACUGUAUGUUCUCUCGUCUUGUUCAAUUUUCUGAUUCAUAUUUACAAAUAUACCCAAGCCUCUACAAGACGUAAUCUUUAUAAAUUUAUCCUGGAUACAAUUGGAUUUCAUCUUUGUUUUAGGGGGAUUAAAAAUUCUGGACUCUUUUAAAGACAUUAGUAUUACAAAUUUCAGUGCACAGAUGCAUUUAUCUCCCACAUAUGUCCUCUUCUCCUCUCUAUUCCAGAAGAAAACCAUCACAUAAGCCACCUCAAAGAACUGACUGUGCAGACAUUUUGCAUGUGCAUGUUGCCAUCUUCACUGCACCUGUUAGUGACAAUAAGAGAGAGGGUUUUGUCAAAGUCAGGACCAGGAGGGGGGAGAAGACAUCUCUUCAUGUGCAAUAGAGUUGAAUGUCACUGUAAAUGCCAACAUUAGUGCAAAUGCUUGGCUCAGAUUUGUUGCCUCCAUGACAGGAAAUGUUUCUUCCAGUGCAAAGAUAUUGAUUUCAGUCUCUUUCAAACUCAGCAGCCCGCCUCACUGCAUGACAGAUAAUUGGUUUUCCAACAGGUCUUAGGUAGCAUGAUAAACCCUACAACAUGUAAACAUGCAUAUGCGCAUCAUUUCAUGGCUUCAUUAUUUGUAUUUUUUUAAGAAUGGGAUUGUUUCACUGGCUUGUUUUUUUUAAUACAAAAAUAAUUACAACAAUUGAUCUGUUGUUGCGGUAAAUACAUAUGGUCUCUCUGUGUGUUUGUGCAGUCAUGCACGCAAAUGUUAGGAUGAUUGUAGCUAUGAAAAAAAGAUGCUCCAUUUGUGAUAUUUACGCUAUCAUUAAAUAAUCAUUUUAUUGCACACAAAA